rnacentral:tRNA from 1 species
GGGGUUGUGGCUCAGUGGUAGAGUGCUUGCCUACUAUGCAUGAGGCACUGGGUUCAAUCCUCAGCACCA